CCUACGGGAGGCAGCAGUGAGGAAUAUUGGUCAAUGGCCGAGAGGCUGAACCAGCCAAGUCGCGUGAGGGAAGACGGCCCUACGGGUUGUAAACCUCUUUUGUCGGGGAGCAAAGCGAACCACGUGUGGUUCAUUGAGAGUACCCGAAGAAAAAGCAUCGGCUAACUCCGUGCCAGCCGCCGCGGUAAUACGGAGGAUGCGAGCGUUAUCCGGAUUUAUUGGGUUUAAGGGGUGCGCAGGCGGAGGUGCAAGUCAGCGGUCAAAUGUCGGUGCUCAACACCGGCCUGCCGUUGAAACUGGUCUUCUUGAGUGAGCGAGAAGUAUGCGGAAUGCGUGGUGUAGCGGUGAAAUGCAUAGAUAUCACGCAGAACUCCGAUUGCGAAGGCAGCAUACCGGCGCUCAACUGACGCUGAGGCACGAAAGCGUGGGGAUCGAACAGGAUUAGAUUCCCGAGUAGUC
rnacentral:rRNA from 1 species